GACGAACGCUGGCGGCGUGCCUAAUACAUGCAAGUAGAACGCACAGUUUAUACCGUAGCUUGCUACACCAUAGACUGUGAGUUGCGAACGGGUGAGUAACGCGUAGGUAACCUGCCUGGUAGCGGGGGAUAACUAUUGGAAACGAUAGCUAAUACCGCAUAAUAUUGAUUAUUGCAUGAUAAUUGAUUGAAAGAUGCUAUUGCAUCACUACCAGAUGGACCUGCGUUGUAUUAGCUAGUAGGUGAGGUAACGGCUCACCUAGGCGACGAUACAUAGCCGACCUGAGAGGGUGAUCGGCCCAACUGGGACUGAGACACGGCCCAGACUCCUACGGGAGGCAGCAGUAGGGAAUCUUCGGCAAUGGACGAAAGUCUGACCGAGCAACGCCGCGUGAGGGAAGAAGGUUUUCGGAUCGUAAAGCUCUGUUGUAAGAGAAGAACGGGUGUGAGAGUGGAAAGUUCACACUGUGACGGUAUCUUACCAGAAAGGGUCGGCUAACUACGUG
rnacentral:rRNA from 1 species